UGCCUGACCUGCUGCGCUUUUCCAGCAACACAUUUUCAGCGCUAAUUCCACAGAUGGCCAACUUAGUGGCUAUUUCUCAUGAUCUUAUGUUUUUGUAAUAGGAAUACAGGUCUUAAUAGUAGGAUAGACCGUUUGAUCGUGGCUGAUCAGAUUAUGGUCUUGGUUCCAUAUGACUUUCUGACCCCUUAAGUCUUGGCAUCCUUAAUUGUCAGAACUCUUCCACAAAUAAAUUAGUGACUCAGUGUUUGCUGAUUUCAGAGGAAGUGAAUUCCACAUCCUAACAACUUUGAGAAAUUUUCUCCUAAUCUCCAUCGUAAAAGUGAAAUCUGUUUGUAAACUGUGACCACUAAUCAACUCCCCAGCAAGACGCAACAUCCUCACCAUGCCCCCCACCCCAAUAAAUUCCCCCUUACUAUCUUUUGCAUUUCAAAAACAUCACCCCUCAUUCUUUUAAACUCCAGUGAUUGUUGGCCCAAUGUGUCUGAACUUAGGUUUCAACAUCAUCUGGUCUUAUAAACAGUGAUGAUUUUGCAUACUAUCAUUAAUAAUAAUGAGAUCAUCUGUUUAGAUGUUGUUUAAAAAUAAUAUUGACCAGGAGAUGAUUCCCUGCUUAGCAAAUUAGUGUCAUACAAACAAGGAACAAUAGUGGGCCCUUCGAGCCUGCUCCUCCAUUCAAUAAUAUGACAUCUGAUUUUAACCUCAACUCUAUGUUGCUGCAUAUUCCAGAUAAUUUUUCAUCCUCUUGAUAAUCAAGAAUCAAGAAACAAUUAGACUCUGCAUCCAUUGCCUUUUGAGGCAAUGAAUUCCAAAGAUACUCAACGCUCAAAAUCAAUGUUUUCUCCAUUUUAAAUGGGUUUACAAUCGCUUUUUUUUAAAUCUAUGACCCCGAGUUCUAGAUUCUCCCAGAAGAGAAAACAUACUUGCAACGUUCACCCAAACAAAUCCCCUCAGGAUCUAUUUCAAUUAAGUCACCUCUGACUCUUCCAAACUGCAAAAGGUACAGGCUUAGCCUGUCUAGCCUUCCCUCAUAAGGCAAUCGGCUCAUUUCAGGUAUUAUUUCCACCUCAAAACAUUUGGGUAUCAUCUUUUUUUAAUGUCUCAACCAAAUAAUAUUCUGACAAGUAGAAAGCUGAGAUGUCUGCCUGAAUUAGCUGCUCUAGUUGCCUGAAGUGGGACGUGAACACAAUGUUAUAAUUCCAAGAGAAGUGUGCUUACACAAGAUAAUGGCUGUUAGUAAACAGUUUGUCUUUGACUGUGGGAAAUGCUUUGACUGAACCAUCAAAAGUUGAGGGAACAUUAAUCGGAUCGAAGACUGACUUUGAUAGUACUGAUACAUUUGCAAUGCUUGUUUAUUUUCUUGCCCACCAAACUAUUGAUAUGUUUGACAUUUCUUGAUACAGUUUUAGAUUUUCAUGAAGCUCUAAUUUUAGAUGUGACUUUGUGUGUGUAUAUAGGUUCGAAGUCAAUUAUUGGAAUGUUUCAGAUAUUUGACAUAGACAAAUAUUCAGUUAUAGACCAUGGAAAGCCAGAUUUUUCAUGAAGCCUGAAGUUGAUUUUGACUGUUCUGCUGACCUGUUUGACCAUAUGAGAGCUGAGUUAAGCUCAUUUCUCUAAUAAGUAAGCAUUUAACACAUAUUUAUAUUUGUAGGUGUCAUUAAGCGAUGAGAGACUUUACAGUUACAAUCGGAGAUCUAGUUCAAGAACUACAUCUGAAUACAGUUAUUCUUCUCGAGCAAGUUCAGGGCACAAUAGUCCAUUGAAUUCAGAUGAUGAGAAAAUGAGUACCGUGUCCCAAGAUAAUAUCAGCCGGGGGCGUCGUGACAGUGUGUCCUCUGAUUUUUCUGAUCACAGUGGAUCGAUAGCUGACUAUUUUAGCCGCUCAAACCGCAGGGGAAGUGUGGUCUCGGACUUGGAUGAUAUUUCUACUCCAGAUCCCUUUAGUUUGGAUGAGAAGACAGAAUCAUUUUCUAGG